GGCUUAUAACUAAACAACCCACCUGAUUGUCUUCUACCUUUUUUUCACGAACGGCAAAACCAGGUUUCAUCGUGUUAUUCAUCUGUUACUAGCUAGAGCUACAAUGGUGUCCAUUUGGGGAUCCUUCAGAAACUUUCUUAUUCGCGACAGACGGUGGUGAAAAUUAGGGUUAGCCGUUAUCUUCACAAUGAACGAGCUUGAGCAACAAUGGUGAUCUAAUCGAGUCCCCAGACGUUACGACUCUCUUCUUUCAUCAUCUUUAAGAGAUGUCUUAACUCAACCGACGCAAUCAAUCACGACGUCUCAUUCAAUCAUACUCAUUCAACUCCAAGGCCGGUUUCUUUACUUAUAAAAAAGGUGUGGUUGCUCCAAUCCAGGUGUGGAUGCUCCAAUUCUGGGAGGCCGGAAAAGCACAACGCGGUGAUGAGUUAAUGGGAGUUGAUAUGCUCCUCUUCGAUGUGAAGUCAACCCUCAUGCCAGCCACCGUGAACGUUCACCGGCUAGCCAAUUUCAGGGAUCGUCUCCAGGCUGCGGAUUUGAUAUCACUCGGUGCAACCAGAACUUCAGGCUUUCAGACUCACUUAUGACAAUACUGUUCAGUGAUUCAACCAAUCUAGAUGUGCUAACCGAACCAUAUUCACCCAUUCCUGUAAAACGUUUCAGGUUCCGUGAUUAGCCAACACCAACACCAACACCUCUUCCAUGAACGUUAUUGGUGAGCUCACUGCUGUGAAAAGUACAGUGAGUGACAUUUAGUCUAGCGAGUUAUGGGACUAUUAAGAUCGACAGUAAUAUCUCUGUCACUUUGAGUCUGAUUGACUCACAAGAUGUCUCUUUUCACAAGAAACUUGAAGGAUUCCUGGGAGAUCCAAGGGUUGUUGCAAUUAGCAUAAACCCAAAGAUGAUUGAAUAUUUUUCUGCAGGACGUUUGUUCUUGAAUGCCACCUCGGGAACGCAUUUAUUUUCCGACAAGGCAACUGAUGCAGGGGAAAUUCAAUUUUAGGACACAUGCUGGUUUCCAAAGCCAUUGGGAUCACCCCUGUUUCAUCAUUGCUGAGAGGCUAUGCAAAGGUUGAGCCUCUUACUAUAGCUGAGCUCAAUGAGUUUGUCAUCAUUUCCGAGCCUCAGGUUGUACGGUCAGUUUUUACUGUUUAAAGUUUAUUUUCUGUAUGUUGUUCUGAAAGGUUCAAAAUAUAGGACACUGAAUUUGUCUGCACUAGAAUGGUGACUGAUAUCAAACUGGAGAAAGGCUGGUGUUACGUCUCUUGCUCAAGGUGCACAAAGAACCUCCAACGGACGGUGUCAUCCUUGCGUGACCUGCAGUAACACCACGCAUCAAACCAUUGCAGGAACAUCUCUAAGUGGUCGCCAUCAAGAAACCUUAGGCAUCAAAGUCUUCAAAGGUGGUCAAGAAGCCACGUAAGGAAUAGUGAAGAUGAGGGUUGUGAUGCGGAUGGAGUACUUGCUGUUUCAAUAAUGAUUGUGUGUUAACGUGAGUUUUCUUUUAAACUGUCCUCUUAUGGAGUUUGGUAUGUUUAAAAAAAAAUCUAUAUAACUAUAAUAAAAAUGCUUUUUUGGACUUUA